rnacentral:rRNA from 1 species
UACGUAGGGAGCAAGCGUUAAUCGGAAUUACUGGGCGUAAAGCGUGCGCAGGCGGUUUGGUAAGACAGAUGUGAAAUCCCCGGGCUUAACCUGGGAACUGCAUUUGUGACUGCCCGGCUAGAGUGUGUCAGAGGGGGGUAGAAUUCCACGUGUAGCAGUGAAAUGCGUAGAUAUCAGGAGGAACUCCCAUGGCGAAGGCAGGUUGCUGGGUGCCAUCUGACGCUGAGGCGCGAAAGCGUGGGUAGCAAACAGG